rnacentral:tRNA from 1 species
CAGAUUAAACUUAAAGUAAGAGUUUCAUUUACACUGAAUUAUUUCCGUGCAAUUCGGAUUAGUCUGA